CCAAUAUGUAUGGAACGCCUG
rnacentral:siRNA from 1 species